rnacentral:rRNA from 1 species
GACGAACGCUGGCGGCGUGCUUAACACAUGCAAGUCGAACGGAAAGGCCCUGCUUUUGUGGGGUGCUCGAGUGGCGAACGGGUGAGUAACACGUGAGUAACCUGCCCUUGACUUUGGGAUAACUUCAGGAAACUGGGGCUAAUACCGGAUAGGAGCGCCUGCUGCAUGGUGGGGGUGGGAAAGUUUCGGCGGUUGGGGAUGGACUCGCGGCUUAUCAGCUUGUUGGUGGGGUAGUGGCUUACCAAGGCUUUGACGGGUAGCCGGCCUGAGAGGGUGACCGGCCACAUUGGGACUGAGGUACGGCCCAGACUCCUACGGGAGGCAGCAGUGGGGAAUAUUGCACAAUGGGCGGAAGCCUGAUGCAGCAACGCCGCGUGCGGGAUGACGGCCUUCGGGUUGUAAACCGCUUUCGCCUGUGACGAAGCGUGAGUGACGGUAAUGGGUAAAGAAGCACCGGCUAACUACGUG